GCAAUAUUAUGCAAUGCAAAUGCAAGAAAAGGCGUGCCUUGAUUUAAAAGAAAUAUUAUUUUAAAAUAAAGUUUUUGUUAAAAGAAAUGGCAAAAGUCCCAUAGUGCAUUGCAGCGACCGUUUUUUCCAGUUCUUUAAGUCACCCUCUUCGUUACAGAAGUUGUAGCAUAUAUGUAAGCUCUUAUCUCGCGCUCUAUUCAAUGAUCGCGCUAUCCAGUCUCAGUUAUAUUAAUAAUAGUGUUAUCUCUUAAUCGUUGGAGAGUCUCAAGUUAAGGCUUACUAACUUACUAAACGUAUUGCUCUGCAGUGUACUUUCGUUACGGGUGGGAUAAAGUGAAGUUUUUGUAAUGGGCCGCUUCUACAAGGUGAAACUCGACUUUCACAAUGCUUGAACGCCUCUCCUUGUUCAAAACUUUCUGUGAGAAGCACGUUAGUGAGUCGCUUCAAUUAACUGAAGCAUAUUGAAAAGAUACUCACGAACUGGUCGAAGCGUUACAGCCAAUUUAUAUUGCCACACAAAAACUGCAGAUGGAGCAGCUAUAUCUGGGCGAUUUCUAUAAGAUGUGGUUAGAGCUUACGCUAACAAUUAAAGCCAUGAAAAACUCACAUAGUGCAGCACUACAAAAGGCAAUUGGGAGAAGAGAAGAGGCUUUAACAUCCAACGAGUUAGUUACUUCAGCCAUCUAUUUGGAUCCCAGGAUCCAUUAAAAAUAUAACUAGCGAAGAACCAUUUGACUACACUUUACAGGAAAAUAAAUGGAAUUGAAAAGAAAGUAAGUAAUUUAAAGAAUGAAGAAUGCUAUUGUUUUCGUAAAUAUUUUAAUUUAUGUUUACACUGUUAUUUGCAGGACGAUAUUUUACCAGCUAUAAGCUUAGAUUCGCCAGAGCACACUGCGCAUGAAUUUGACCAGCCUUCCACAAGCCAAUUGUCGGGCGCGUCACAGAGUACUGUGGAGGAGGAACAUGAAGUUCAGCUUUCCAUUAAUGAAAUAAACAAUUAUUGUCCGAAGCAAAUUCACAUAAAUGCCAAUAUUAUGGAUUAAUGGGAAGAAAAGAAAUACAAUAUCCCCGCUUAUAUGAAUUGGCAAAGGUCAUACAUUGUGUUCCCGCAACACAAGUCAGCGUUGAAAGGGCAUUUUCGGC
rnacentral:lncRNA from 1 species